UAGCGUCUUCAGGGCGGGGCGAAAUUCCCCACCGGCGGUAGGUUGAAGGGUUCACGCCUGACAACAAGCCCGCGAGCGCCUUGGUCCGGUCCGUGAUGGACGAUCCGUCAUGGAGCAGGUCAAGGGUCAGCAGAUCCGGUCAGAUGCCGGAGCCGACGGUUGGAAGCUGGCGACAGUUUCCUCACAGUCCGGAUAAAGAGAAGACGGUC
rnacentral:ncRNA from 2 species